rnacentral:rRNA from 1 species
CGCAACUAAAAUAACGCUCGCAGGCUCAGCUCCCUCCACUAAAAUAACGCUCACACGCUCAGCUCCCUCCUCCUCGCGCUAUCUUCUCAUCUCGUCUGUAUCCUGACCACAACAGUAAUCCCCAAAUCACGCCGGCGACAGCUCCGAUUCCAAAGCACAGGGCCGCCCCUCCCUCCGGUGCUCCCAUGGCGCGGCUUCUUCCUCAAGCUGCCCGGCGCUGCUUCGCCGGUGGCGCAUCCGUGGGAGUCCUUCGGGCAGGGGUCCAGGCGUUUCUCGACGAUGCAGCCGGUGACGGGGAGGAGUCGCGCGGGGUCACGCCGGGGGUAAAGGACCUGGCCCAGGUGGUUCUCGACGAGCCGUGUGCAUAGGGGAGCAGGAUCCGUCUUCUAGCAGAGGAAAAACGAGAAGGGUGUGGAGAGCGAGGUCGCUGCCGGAGCUCUGCCGGAGCGAGGUUGAUUUGGUGUUGCGUUUUCAGGUCCGGGGAUUGGGUUGCUGGAGGAAGGGAGGAGGCGUUGGCAAAGUGCUGCAGGAGCUGGUCAGCUGCUCACGUGAAGAAUCUCUGCUGCUCACAUGGAGGCACUUUUUCUUUCUUUCUUUUGCCGAUGGAGGCACCGAGUGAAGCACCCGUGACUUUUCGGGAGCGGUUAUUUCUUCGGAUGUUUUGUCCAAAAGGACCCCCUGCCGAACGCUAUUGAUAAAAAAGACUACCUACGGAUAAAAUUGUCAAAAAAGACCCCC